UUGUUUUAUUUAUUUGUUAAAAUUACAAUCAAUUCUCGCGUUGAGAAUUUUCAGUAAUUUUUCUGGCGUGGCGCAGUGACAUGGCUGUUUAUUUACAAUAAGUUAAUACUUAUUAUAGAUAGGUAUAAUUUAUAAGUAUUAUAAGUAAGUGCAUAUGCUUAAUUUGGAUAACUAAAUGAAUCUAGCGUUUAGGUCUAGCGGGUAGUGCCUCUUCAGCCUGCGAAUCUGGUCCGUCGUAUCAAGUAGUCCAAUGAUUAGGGGGUUUCGGUGUUUGUUGACUCUUUUGCUAUAUCUGUCGCUAUAUUUUGCUAUUUCCUCUUUGACUGUGGGUAUCUUGAGGUAGCGAUGUAUUGUUUCGUUGAUAACAUACCAAGGUGCAUCUAUUAAGGAUCUUAGCGUUUUCGAUUGGAAGCACUGAAGUAUUUCAAUGUUGGAGUUACUUGCUGUUCCCCAUAGUUGGAUUCCGUAGGUCCAGACAGGUUUUAUUACGGUCUUGUAGAGGGUAAUUUUAUUCUGUAUGUUUAGUUUGGAGCGUCGGCCCGUGAGCCAAUAGAAUUUUUUUAGUUUGUCCUUUAGUUGCUUCGUAUUAUCUGAGAUGAUUAAAGAAAUAAAUCUAUCAAAUUCGAAGAUGGUAUCCCACUGGGGGUAGCCAUCCACAUGUUAUAUUGCUAUAUCACUGAGCUAUAAUAUUUUACCAAAUGUCCUACUGGACAAAUUGUAAAAUGUAAAUAAAUAAAUAAAUAAAUAAAUAAAAAAAAACCUAUGCGAAUGAUAGGAAUCGCUUUGAUCGGGAAUGAAGAAACAGAGAGGGGAGAACGGAAUGAAAUGUAGUCGGUCGAUAGACGUUGGAUGCGAGCUUUCUAAGCUGUCCGGCUGAAUGAGCCCACAACAUGUACAUACUUACUUACACUUUGCCAAUGGGAAUGAGACGAGAUAAUGCAUGGUGGGUGUCAUCCGGUGACUACCUACACGCUGCUUAACUUCCUUCCUGCAUCUCUGUACUCGACGUUCUUGUCCAAAUCCUCUAGUUAUUCCUAGAUAGAACUGCAUUUUCUAAAUAUGAAAGAAACCGAAACGGAGUUGAUCGUGCCAUGGGGUAAAUUGCAGCUAUAAAUGGAACAAAAGCAUCGAACUACUAUGCACGUGAUAUUGUUUUUCACGUGUUUCGCGCGUAGUUACGCCAAGUAUUUUUCUGUUGCGCUGGUACAAUUUUCGCGCUAAUAAACCAAACAGUGACACACCACCGUACGCGGCGGCUCCUCACGCUGUGGAAAUUUCCAUUCGUGAAAACCAGUGGCGUAGUCAACCGCUUAUUCCGCACUGAAACUCCUUCCACUUGCAUUCAACUUCCGUACUCAUAUUUCGACAUAUCCAAAAUGUUUGGUGUCCAGCCUGCGUAUAAAUGCCAAUGGUAGGCAUCUUCGAUUCAUUCGUAGGGUAAAUUCGAAUCAUUCUCUAUGUCACCAUUAUCUAUUAUUUCAAUGAUUUUAUCGAGAAUGAUAGCCAUAAAUCACGCGUUGAUAAAUUAAUGCUUUUUUCAUCGCAUAGUAAGCUAUUUUUUCGUUUCUACAUUAGUAUGUGGAAGAUAACGAGAAUAUCCAUGUAUUGCAACAUCAUGAUCCAAUGAUUCCAACAACUUUGACAUAUUGGAUAUGUAAAAAUUAUCGACUACGGUCGUUUCCAUAAUAAUUAUUUUUAGCUUCACUGGCUAAAUAUUUUUUAAUGCCGUUCUUUACUCUUGACCUCGUUAAAUUUAUUUAGAGAUAUCAGUUGAUCGAAACACGAGUUUCAUUUCAUACUUACUAGAAUUAAGUUGCCUUCAAAUUUGAGCAUAAAGCACAUAAAAGAUCAAUCCGAAUAUUGCAGCGGACUAUGGUAAACAGCAGAUGGUUUCAACGAUUGGCUGUGAAUUUCAGUUGCGCAAUGUCGAUCGUGUGUUAUCUCAUUUUUAAUUUCUGAUAAUAACAGGCUAAACGGUAUAACAAUUUUGACAAUGCAAAUCUCGUUGAAGUUUUCUACGUACGAUUCAUUGUUAUUCAUGUGUUACGUCAAAGUAACGAUUGCAAGCGACUACGAUGACGUUAGCUGCCGCAGAAUAAACUAAAAAUACGACUAUUUCCUCUAGGCUUUUUCAAAUAAUAUCACGAAAAGAACGAGUUUGCCGCAAUUAUCAAAAGAAACUCGUGGAAGUAUUCUUACAAGCGGCUCGUGUAUGAUUGAGUUACAUUCACACAGUGUUAUUUUAACGCAAAGUAUCAUUUUAGUUAGAUUUUAUUUUUGAGAACUCCAAGUAUAUCUAUCUAACGAGCUGACUGCUUGUGCAUUCAAAUUAAACAUAAAACGAAUAAAGUAUGUACAUAGUUAUGCUAUCAUUAACGAUAUUAAUAGCCGCAUAAACGAAAAAACUUAGUGUGGAGGUCGAUUGCAAUCGAAAAAUCAACGUACUCACGCAACAUUUAUGUAAAUGUGUUACAGAUACGGCAAAGGUGAUUCUAUUUAAAGUAUAACGAACUCGAAGAACGUCCUUUUGGUACUAUUUUAGUUAAGACGAUAUAUCGAUUAGUUUACCAACACAAUGCAUUUAAAUAUCAACCGGUAAUAUGAAUUUAUAUUUUUUUUCUUUAGAACGAACGAUUUAUUUCACAAUAUACAUACUUCAGCCUAUAGGUGCUAUCUGCAACAGGCGGUUACGUCGACAAUUCCGUCUUCCAAAUUUUCCUCGACUAUACGUUUAGCUUACCUUAUUUUCGAUGCUGAAAAUCGUUCGACGAAACUUUGAUUGCAAAUUGGGUUUCGACAAGUUUGUCAAAUCAAUCUUAAAACUUAAUAUCGUUCUUAUAUCUGCCAUACUUUUAAGAUCGAAUGCCCGAUGCCUGAUACAAUCGGUCUGUCGUUCGUCGAUCGUAUCAAUGCGAUCGUUUCUAUUCUUAUCGAUAUUAUUGGUAAAUCAUACUUGAAAAAUUCUAUAUAAUCAUGAGUCAUAACGAUUGCUCAUUCGUAACUCGAAUAUCAAAUGCUAUUUUGCACGUGUCAUCGUCGUAUUAAGCAACUAAUUGUCGUCAUAUUGAAAUUGUUGCGUGACUCAGUAUGAAAAAAUUACGCGAGCAUCCUAAGAAGCUGUGGGAACUUUCGCUUUCACAGGUUUACCUUUGGAAAAAAAUACUUCAGGAAAUUAAGAAAUACUCUGUUAAUACUUUGAAACUCAUUUAUUGAACAUGACAUAAAAAUCACGAUAUAUGAUAAUGAUGAACCGAGUCUAUUGUAAGCUUUCAAACUUUAGAUAUAUUAUUCAUCUUGAAUGUUCGCCUGUAAUAUCUUACUCGAAUGUCUUAACAAACGCUAACGGACUCGUUAUUUUAUACAUGUAUAAUUAUAUUCAUGGAAUGUGCACCCGUCAUUUCGCUUUCUUUUCCAUUUUGUACGUCCAUGUACGUAUAUACGUCCAGAAAAGAAAAAUAGGAAAAGAAAAAAAAAAGAUUGAUAACAGGUUUUUGACAAAAAAUUCCAAACGUUCGCUUAGUAUCGUAUAUUUUGUUAUUUCUUCUUUUUUCAAUCUUGAAAUAUUGAGAAAUUAAGAAGCUCGAUAAUGUACCCGACAUUUCAUUCUUGGUGAAGUUACGUUGAAGAACGAGCGUUACGGGCUUUUCAAUAACAAAAGCUGCUAUUUUAUAAAAAGAAAAAAAAAUAAAUACACAACAUAAGACCGAAAAAUAGCGAGAGAAUGAUAGAGGUUUGUGGUGGCAAAGAACGAACAGGUUGCCGCGGAAAAAGCAACAGCCGCUCGUGAAGUCUAUCAUGUAUGUAUAUAGAUGUUAUAUUUUUAUGCGAUCCUGGGGAUUUUGGCAGUGAUAUUCAAUCGUCAUGGUUGAGGAGAAAGUCAUUGAGGGAUCAACGAUACUAUGUAUAUCGACGAAUAAUGUCGUUUUGAAUCGCCAAAGCGACAAUUCUACUUCUACACUGCAAAAAUAUUAGACAAAAUAUGAAACGGCGAGCAUAUUCUACUUAUAAUACAAAAGCGUUAUUCAGGCCGUUUUAUUAUACGUAAAGUAUACCUAAGUAAAUACGUAAAAGGUACGUAAUAGGUUUCAACAUAAAGCUCACCAUGCAUAUCUCUAAACGCGAUAGAAAUUAUUUUCUGAUAUUUACGUUCGAUUCUAUCGCUCAAUCCAAGCCGAAACUAUCAAUUUGUACUUUCGUAUGAAAUUGCUCCUGACCGUUUCCCCAUGACUCGUACCUCCAUCUCCUCAGCCACGCGCUAAAAAUCAGCUCAAAAUGUCCCGAGUGAGGUAUAACGAAUAACCAUAACGUAGUUGCAAUAGUUAUACAAAAAAUAGUCAAAUUGUCGAAUAAUGUAUAUGUAUAUAUGCACACAACAGGCGCGCGACGAGCGCGUGUGCGUGUGUCGAUGUAUACGUAUGUACAUAUUCAAAUAUAUAUAAAUAUAUUUGUAUAUAUUCAUAUAGCUUUAUAGUUGCGCGAACAUUGUGACCGUAGAAUGAAAGUGGAUCGAGCUGGAACAGAUAAACUAUAAGAUACAUACAGCUAAGUGUUUUAUAAAUCGAAUUAAAAAGUAAUAAACGUUAUGUAAAUAUUUCGAAUCAAGGGGAAAAAUAUUAUAUACAAAAAGAUAGGAGGUCAAAGCUUCCAAUCCACGUUUACUCCGCGGUCCGAGGCCGCCGUAAUAAAUAGAUCGUAUUAUCUCGUCAAUCUCUAAAUUCUAAUAACACCAUUGUUCCUAAUCAGUACAAAUCAAUCAACGAAAUGAUGGAACGAAAUUUCGCCAAGGUUCGUGCAACGUUCUCGAUCCUUCGCGCGUCCCAACACUUCGUCAAGCACCACGUUUUAACAUCAGAUCGGUAAUUCUAUUGUUUUUCUGUUCUCUAAAGCAGUCUUACAUAUAACGGCAAUUUUUCUGAAUUAGUCCUUUCAUUCUUAUCGGAUCUGAUCUUUUCCUUAGUUCGUUCGUUCUUUCCUUCCCCGUUCAUCCCGUAUAUUCACUGAAAAGAAAAAGGAACAAAAAAAAAAAAGAAAAGAAAAAAAGGAAAGGAAACAAAGAGAAGAAAAACUGUCGGACAAUCGUCUUGAAAAUUAGGCGACGUGCUUCUCAUAUCAAAUUUGAUAAUCUUUUAGAAUUUAAUGUUGAACGAUAUCUAUAUAGAAAAUAAAUUAUCCCGAGAACAUGCUCGAUCGAAAAUUAAGGAAAAAUCGUUUGACCCUUCGUUCUCGUUCGGAUCAACAUUGUUAUUGAACGAGGAAAGAACUCGUCGCUGUCGCUAUCAAAGGACGCGCAUUGAUUGACGGAGAAUCGAAGCGUUCGUACGAAUUUUCGUAGUAACAAUAACAUUUCCCCAACUUCUACCUCCAUUUUUUUAUUUUUUUGUUUUUCUUUUAUAUGAUUGUUGCAAAAUAAUUCUACCUUAUAGCUUACGGUAUCACAGAGUUACACGCGGUAUCAUAUAAUUGCUCCCACUUCGUAAUUUCGCAAAACGAUAAGGAAAGCGCGUGAUCAUCUUAUUCGAAAAAUUGAAAAUUGCGGUAAUAUAUAGAUGGACGCAGACGAUGUCACCGUAUUACGCAUAUAAAAAACAAAC